GAAAGAAAUUGCAAAAAGCUUGUCCCCAGAGAUGGAGUCUUCGCCAUCAUGCAGCUAACUCUAAUCCCAUACAUUGCUACAAAACAUGAUGAAUCUAUUAUAAAGAUAAGCAAAGAAAAUAAUGACGAUUAAACAAACGCCUUACCCGUUCUAGAGUUGCUGGUAGACAAAAUAAUAAAGAACUACGCUUGAAAUGAACUGAUCUGGAGUUCUCCAAAUUAUACUAUCACCACUACCACAAUCCCUGUGCCUCCGCCUAUUUUUUAACAAAUAUAAACAUUUAAUUCUGUACUGUCAUUCAAUUCACUAGGAGUUAAUAUAAAUAUUACUUUAUCCGAUUCUCUAAGAAACUUUCAUGAAUAUUUAGAGGAAUGCUCAAACUUGAAUGUACAGUACGGCCAAUUUCAUCAACUUUAUUAAUGGAAAAAUAUGCAGUAGUUCUGUCGUGGCCUUUAAAACAAAACUUACGACCUUUCAUGGUUGAGUUAACAUUGUCGUUCAUGAUUGUAUUUUAGAAGGGGAUACCAAUGCUGACAUUGACAGAAAUAUCGUUUUGCGUGUUCAAACUUGAAUGUACAGUACGGCCAAUUUCAUCAACUUUAUUAAUGAAAAUAUAUGCAGUAGUUCUGUCGUAGCCUUUAUAACAUUACUUACGACCGUUUUAUGGUUGAGUUAACAUUGUCGUUCAUGAUUCUAUUUUAGAAGGGGAUACCAAUGCUGACAUUGACAGAAAUAUCGUUUUACGUUCUUCUUUUAUCAGUAUCCCAAGGCAUAGGCAUAUCAUCUUUAUCAGGACGAGUGUGUUUUGUACACUGCUUUGUUAAUCCGUCAUCACUUUCAUCUACAACACUAAAUGAUAUAAAAUUAUACAUUAUUUCCUCUCCAGACGACCGCCCAGAUUUAUUUUGUCGCUUUUUCCAUCAAAAAUUAAAAUUUCAACAAGGAUUUGCUCUUAAUUUUAUCAAAUACAUAAUAAAUAAUCCUCAUUAUUUUUU